rnacentral:ribozyme from 1 species
AGCAAUACUGCAUUGUUAAGGUAUGGAUACGAAGCUUCUUGAAAGUUGUCAAAGGCACUCAACACCUCACUUCGACUCCAUACAUCCCCGGCAAACAGAACGGUGAUAUGUCUUUUCAAAUAUCUUUUGGAACUAAACCCAACCCCUUGAGAAGCUGGUUAAUAUGGUUAAAUUGAGCGCA